AACCGGCGAACUGUGGCUGUCCCCCGAGGGGCCUCACCCGGAGGUGAGGCCGUCGAUGGCGUGGCUCGGUCGGUCUACAGGCCGCCGACCCGCGAGCGAGGUGGGCACCUGUCUCGCCGUCGUCUGGAGUGUCCCGUACUCGUGGUUCCGAUCGCCUGGGGCUGGCUUCCCUCUGGCGAGGGAGUUGGUCUCGGGUGGUCGGGGCCGGGCCCUCCCCUCCCCCUUUGUCUCNNNNNNNNNNNNNNNNNNNNNNNNNNNNNNNNNNNNNNNCUUGAGGAACGUGAAUAGAGAGACUGAGCCUGGGGCUCCCGCUUCCGCGGGACCCGAGUCGAAAACCAAAACAACGACUCUCAGCAACGGAUAUCUUGGCUCUUGCAACGAUGAAGAACGCAGCGAAAUGCGAUACCUAGUGUGAAUUGCAGAAUUCCGCGAAUCAUCGAGUCUUUGAACGCAAGUUGCGCCCGAGGCUUGUCCCGAGGGCAUGCCUGCCUGAGCGUCACCGCACUCCCACUCCCGUGCUUGCAUCUCGGUUCUCGGACCGGGGGGCACGUUGCCCGAGUGGAACUGGCCGUCCGGGACCCGGCGUGAAGCAGGUGGUCGCGGUUGGCUGAAAUGUAGCGUUCUGGUCGCAGCUCAAGAGAGAGGCCGCGAGAAGGUGAUCCGCUCUUUGCCGGGCGGAGUCAAAAGACAGCGGCUCUCUCCCUUGGGUGGUCCGGACGACUGCGACGGUCUCCGUCGUGGGGAACGAUGAGGGGAGAUGCCACCUCCCCUUUUUUUAGAGCUGGACCUCAGAUCAGGCAAGAUUACCCGC
rnacentral:rRNA from 1 species